UACGGGGGGGGCAAGCGUUGUUCGGAAUUACUGGGCGUAAAGGGCUCGUAGGCGGCCAACUAAGUCAGACGUGAAAUCCCUCGGCUUAACCGGGGAACUGCGUCUGAUACUGGAUGGCUAGAGGUUGGGAGAGGGAUGCGGAAUUCCAGGUGUAGCGGUGAAAUGCGCAGAUAUCAGGAGGAACACCAUGCGAAGGCAGCACGCUGGGACCGUAACUGACACUGAGACG
rnacentral:rRNA from 1 species